GUUGGCAGGUAGCUCUCUGCAACAUGUGAGAACAUGGUCACCCACAAACCUAAGCAGGGCUGUGCCUGGUCAUUACCUGGAUGGGAGACCACAUGGGAAAGCUAGGUUGCUACCA
rnacentral:rRNA from 1 species